rnacentral:lncRNA from 1 species
AGAAGGUUCAGUUUGUGACUGGAUCAGGUAGUAGUAGGAAGGUUCAGUUUGUGACUGGAUCAGGUAGUAAGGAGAAGGUUCAGUUUGUGACUGGAUCAGGUAGAUCUGCCACUGACAUGGCCUUUCAUCUGAGGCAGCCAUUUGUAGUCAUCCUGGGAUUCGGUGUUAAUGUCGGAGAUGAGUGUGUGUCCCACACAUCUUGGCUUGGAAUGUCACACCAAGCGCUUUGGCGCUGGAUACCACCUCAAGUGUGUGGCCGGAGAUGGAUAAUGGCGGAGGUGGGUCAGGAUUGUGUCUAAAACAGGUGUACAUGACUUUGCACUUGGUUGGGUUGAACUUCAUCUUGUUUGGUUCUGACCAGUCGGCUAAUUAGUUGAGGAUCUGCUGUAUGGUGGAAGUGUCACCUAUGGGUCUUGAUUCGAUGAGGUUCAGGUCAUCCACCUAGGCCCAGGUGUUGCAUAGGGUACCCUCUGAUGUACCAUUGACGUGAGCCACGAAUACAAUUGGACCAAGCCGUGUGCCGUGGGGGCAGGCCACAGGAGAGUUCUUGGGCCUGCGAUACAGUGUCAUGGUAUUUUGUCACCUGACUACUGUCGGAAUGGAAGUUACAAAUCCAUGGCAUGAUCUCUGGUCGGUCAGAUAAUUCCAAAAGGUGUUUCAUUGCAUUGGUGUGAUCCACAAGAUCAAAAAAGGUCUUCCUGGUUAGAACAGAGAGUAGUUUCCUGUGCAUUUCCCAUAGUUCAACAGUCGGAAGUGAAUGCAGUUAGGUCUGACAGGUUUAGUGGUGGUAAUGAUGUGGUGACAAAUAACUGGUCAUUCAAUUGUCUGGGUCGAGCCGCUCAGCUUUGAUUGAGACGGUCUUUUUAGUGCUGGUCAGAGAUUUAAUUUGAUGGUACCAUGUGGCUGGGUUCGCCUUCUUGUUUUUCUGGAUUUCGGUGUGGUAGAAUGUUGAUCUUGCUGCCUGGAUCUGUCUCUGGGUUGUGUUUCUCAGAGUGCUCCAUGAAGGCCAGUCUUUUUCACUGAAGGUUUUCUGUCUGCUUUGAAUCAGCUCUUUGAUUCUCGGUGAAAUCAGCUCCUUAUCCUGUGCAUGCAUCCUAACCACCCCUUUUGGGAAGUAAGCUGCAAUGG